GGGGCUGUAGCUCAGUGGUAGAGUACUCGUCUCUCAUGUGUGAGACACUGGGUUUGAUCCUUAGCCCCA
rfam:Ictidomys tridecemlineatus contig049057, whole genome shotgun sequence.